CUACGGGGGGCUGCAGUGGGGAAUAUUGGACAAUGGGGGAAACCCUGAUCCAGCAAUGCCGCGUGUGUGAAGAAGGCCUGCGGGUUGUAAAGCACUUUCGGUUGGGAGGACUGCUUCUAGCACUAAUAUUGUUGGAAGUUGACGUUACCUUCAGAAGAAGCACCGGCUAACUCCGUGCCAGCAGCCGCGGUAAUACGGAGGGUGAAGCGUUAAUCGGAAUUACUGGGCGUAAAGCGCGCGUAGGCGGCUAGAUCAGUCGGGUGUGAAAGCCCCGGGCUUAACCUGGGAACUGCAUCCGAUACUGUCUAGCUUGAGUACAGGAGAGGAGAGUGGAAUUCCACAUGUAGCGGUGAAAUGCGUAGAUAUGUGGAGGAACACCAAUGGCGAAGGCAGCUCUCUGGCCUGAUACUGACGCUGAGGUGCGAAAGCGUGGGGAGCAAAUAGGAUUAGAUACCCUCGUAGUC
rnacentral:rRNA from 1 species